rnacentral:rRNA from 1 species
AGAGUUUGAUCAUGGCUCAGAGCGAACGCUGGCGGCAGGCCUAAUACAUGCAAGUCGAGCGGGUGUAGCAAUACACCAGCGGCAGACGGGAGAGUAACACGUGGGAACGUGCCCUUCAGUUCGGAACAACCCAGGGAAACUUGGGCUAAUACCGGAUACGUCCGAAAGGAGAAAGAUUUAUCGCUGAAGGAUCGGCCCGCGUCUGAUUAGCUUGUUGGUGAGGUAACGGCUCACCAAGGCGACGAUCAGUAGCUGGUCUGAGAGGAUGAUCAGCCUCACUGGGACUGAGACACGGCCCAGACUCCUACGGGAGGCAGCAGUAGGGAAUAUUGGACAAUGGGCGCAAGCCUGAUCCAGCCAUGCCGCGUGGGUGAUGAAGGCCCUAGGGUUGUAAAGCCCUUUCGGCGGGGAAGAUAAUGACGGUACCCGCAGAAGAAGCCCCGGCUAACUUCGUGCCAGCAGCCGCGGUAAUACGAAGGGGGCUAGCGUUGCUCGGAAUCACUGGGCGUAAAGCGCACGUAGGCGGCUUUUUAAGUCAGGGGUGAAAUCCUGGAGCUCAACUCCAGAACUGCCUUUGAUACUGAGAAGCUCGAGUCCGGGAGAGGUGAGUGGAACUGCGAGUGUAGAGGUGAAAUUCGUAGAUAUUCGCAAGAACACCAGUGGCGAAGGCGGCUCACUGGCCCGGUACUGACGCUGAGGUGCGAAAGCGUGGGGAGCAAACAGGAUUAGAUACCCCUGUAGUCC